AUUGAACGCUGGCGGCAUGCUUUACACAUGCAAGUCGAACGGCAGCGCGGGCUUCGGCCUGGCGGCGAGUGGCGAACGGGUGAGUAAUACAUCGGAACGUGCCCAGUAGUGGGGGAUAGCUCGGCGAAAGCCGGAUUAAUACCGCAUACGACCUGAGGGUGAAAGCGGGGGAUCUUCGGACCUCGCGCUAUUGGAGCGGCCGAUGGCAGAUUAGCUAGUUGGUGGGGUAAAGGCCUACCAAGGCGACGAUCUGUAGCUGGUCUGAGAGGACGACCAGCCACACUGGGACUGAGACACGGCCCAGACUCCUACGGGAGGCAGCUGUGGGGAAUUUUGGACAAUGGGCGAAAGCCUGAUCCAGCAAUGCCGCGUGUGUGAUGAAGGCCUUCGGGUUGUAAAGCACUUUUGGCGGGAACGAAAAGGACUGUGCCAAUACCACGGUUCGAUGACGGUACCCGCAGAAUAAGCACCGGCUAACUACGUG
rnacentral:rRNA from 1 species